rnacentral:rRNA from 1 species
UAGGGAAUCUUCCACAAUGGACGCAAGUCUGAUGGAGCAACGCCGCGUGAGUGAAGAAGGCUUUCGGGUCGUAAAACUCUGUUGUUGGAGAAGAAUGGUCGGCAGAGUAACUGUUGUCGGCGUGACGGUAUCCAACCAGAAAGCCACGGCUAACUACGUGCCAGCAGCCGCGGUAAUACGUAGGUGGCAAGCGUUAUCCGGAUUUAUUGGGCGUAAAGCGAGCGCAGGCGGUUUUUUAAGUCUGAUGUGAAAGCCCUCGGCUUAACCGAGGAAGCGCAUCGGAACUGGGAAACUUGAGUGCAGAAGAGGACAGUGGAACU